rnacentral:misc_RNA from 1 species
UGCCCGACCGAACGAUCAACUCCACAUCGGGACGACCGACCAACGGCCGAAGGAAUUCGAGCUGGAAGUUUCGCGACAGCGUCGUGAGCGCCCCGACGCUGAGGACCUGACGGUUUGCCAACGGGCGACCUUGCAGAGUGCUCAACAGUUCGUCACCCGCUUUAAAUACUGUAUCGGCAUAGUCGNNNNUGACCGGCCUCGGUCAGGAUGAGUUUCUUGCCCACACGCUCGAAGAGCGGAUGGCCCAUCU